rnacentral:lncRNA from 1 species
GACAAUUCAGAUUGUACAAAAGUACCAUUUUUUUUACUUAUAUAACAUAGUCAAAAUAGUUGUUAUUUUAGUGGUUUUUUUUUCUCUUUGAGAGAUCUGAAAUUCAAUGGCCAUGGAAGAGAGGGACUGACAGAAGAGAGUGAGCAUACACAUAUAAUUAUAUAAAUAUUUUUACUUAAUUUUCUUGAUAUAUAUUGUAUAUAUAAUUUUGCGAGUGCUCACUUCUCUUUCUGUCAAUCUCUCUAGGAAGGGUCAAAUGGUACAUGAGUUAGAUUUAGAUUGUAUUGUGAGAUUUUUUUGGUUUCAAUUGUGUUAAAAGGGAGAAAUGCUAUGAGUCAAACCCUAGUGGAAGAGGAUCGGAUUGGCCUAACCUAUGGUGUACCGCCAGGUAGACUUACCAGUUUUGUUUUUUAUUAGGGUGAAUUUUGGGAAUAGUGAGUGGAAAGGAAUUUAUUUGAUAUUAAUUAUCGAAUUCUCUCAGUGAAAAUUCGUCAAGGUCAAAAAGCACAACAUUGAAUAUUAUCUAUAUAGUUUUCUAGAGUAGAGAUAUAGUAGCAUACUCCCCCUAUACGAAGAAAGAUAGAGAAUAUUUAUUUCGAAUCAAAUUCAAAAUUUAUCUCGAUAUCAAUAUGAUAUAAAUCUCUCAAUUGAAGAUCUAUAGGUUAGUGAUUUCAUAAUCCAUGUGAUUAUAUAUAUAUAUAUAUAUAUAUAUAUAUAUUGAACUUUUUGCUCAGUUGAACUCGCAGAACUACAGAAAAAUGUGAAAAAGAUGGAUACAAUGAAUUUAGGUAGCAAAAAGGAAUUCUCUCUUUUAUAGCACCCUAGACAUAGACAUGACAUUGACCAGAAAAAAAUAAUUCACAUUGACUAUUGAACCAAUUUUUUUAAAUUUUUUUUUGGGAUUUCUGUAUUGAUAUUAUCUUUUACAAAGUUUAAAACUUUAAUAUUCUAGUAGUUAUUUUUUUUUGUUGGAAAAUAUCUAGCAGCAGCAGAUCAAGAAAAGUAAAGUUUCCAGUUUUGAGGUUUUGUGGAUUUGUAAGGUAACCCUGUUUACUGUUCUCAUUUUAACAGAAAAAAAAACUGCAAAUAUUCAUAUUUUUAUUUGUAUUUUGAGGAUUAAUUUGGUACUAUGAGUGGAGGGCGUAUCGAAAACAAUCUCUAUACUCCUAUACAAAGGUCAUAGGGUGAGAAUUAUACUGAGUAGUGAUGGAGUCAAGUAGGGAAAAGGGGUAUAUCCGAAUCUUCUUUGGCUGAAAAUUAUACUAUUUAUAUAUGUUAUCAAAAUUAUCUUUUAUAUGAAUAUAUAUAAUAGAUAUUGAAACCUUUUAACUUCUUUGCAUGUUUACUUUUUUAUAUUUUGAACUUUUUAGUGAAAAUUCUGGUGCCGCCACCGACACUAGUAUAUAGGAUGACAUGAAAUCUGUGUUGUAAGUUGAUUUGUUUAUUGAAAUGCUACGGAUUUGUUUAUUUUUUAUAUGUGGGAUCAUGUUAUAUUUUAUGUAGGUUUUGAUGAGCUGAUUUCUUUUCAAUAUUAUGAAGUAAUUAUAUAUGUUUUUUUGGUUCUUUUGCAGAGGGCAAGGAAGAAAAAUUAGUAAAGAAUAGAACUUUGAAUAUUGCUAUUAAUGGAAGUUGAAAAAGUUCCUCUUACAGGUUAGGAGUUUCUUCAAAUUGUGAGCUUUUAUAUUUGAUAAAUUUUUUAAAGUUGUUAUUUUUUCUCAAUAAAAAGACAGUUCCCUAUUAGGAGCUUGUGGUUUAGGUUUUAAUUGUAAUGGUUAUGUUGUGUUUUGGGCUAUAUAGCUUGGAAUUUCUAAAAAUGUUAUUGGACUCGUGUCGAAUCCCCUAAAAGUGAUGUCUGACACGCACUCGUUGACAUUUUUGAAGAGUUUGAGCAUAUAGGUUUUGGGUGUAUACAAAGCUGCUAACUUUAGCAUAUAAUCCUUAAUGUUAUCAGUGUGGCUACAAUAUAGUUUCAAGUUUGUGUCUUUCGAAAUUGGGUGAUUGAGUUUGAAGUGACAACUUUUGUUUCAAACAGAUCUAUUUGAGUAGUCAAGAUUUGGGGAUUUAGUUUUGAGUCUACUUUUGUUUUUGGUGGAAUUAGUGAUACCAUAGAGAUAUGUUACUGUAACUUGAAGCAGUAAAGAUGUUUAUCUCUACUAAUAAAUCGAGGGAUAUGUUACAUAGUGAGACUUCGCGAGGACCUAGUAGAAUUUUGCAUAGAAAAGAAAUUGUUGGAGUAGAUGUGGAGAAAGAUUCAGGAUUUAAGCUUUCUAGGUUCAACCUUUAAGAUUUUUAGCAUUGAACCCUAUGUAAUUUUUACUAUUUAUUGCAAUUUCAGUGAUUUGUUACACAUAAAUUUAUGUUCCGCAUUGGAAGUACUAUGCUCAGAUGAACCUGCUGCUAAAUAGAUGCAUUCGUAUAAUCUUCAUACUUCUGCCGAUUAUAAGUGAGUUCUACUUUCCUUCUUCUUGAUGCUUUCAAAUGAAAUGGAAUAUUGCAGUGAUGUGCUUGCUUUCAUUUGUAUAAUAUAGGUUUUGCCCAAAAAGCAAUAGUAGAGUUAUUGUCUACAUAAAUACGGUAGGUUUCGAUCUGUUGUGACAUGUAUGUAGCAUCUCCAACAAUUUCUGAACUCAAAUUGCACUAUGAAUGAGGCUAAUGUGACAUUAUUAUCUUCGAAAGUAGAAACAGUUGCAGAGGUUUCUUUUUUGAACACAAAGUAAAUGUCGCGUCUUCCUUAAGAAAUACAAAACCAGUAGUACUCAUUUGAUUCACCCCAUUCAGUGUUGCCAUUUGCCAACAAGUUCGAAAUUUUCAGAUGGAGAAAAUCAAUAGUCUAUAAUUAAAUUAAUCACCUUUGACAUAUAUAUCGAUGAGUUGAGUACUUUCUUCCAUCAAUCAUCCAAGUUCUUAUGUACUCUUAAGUAAGUGUAAUCCUGCAAAAGACUUAAAAGACCUAUAUAAUGGCUUUGAACAAUCAAACUAGUACACUACGAUACAUAAAGUCCAACUCUCCCUAAAGAUAUGGCGGAGGGAAAGUGGUAAAAAAGAGAAGGUUAGAAGGAAGAACACAUAUGUAGAGUUGAUAUUUCCUCUUGUUGCUUGAUUUGCUCCAAUGAACCGAGAAUGUAAAGUACUAAUUAAAUUUAUCAACUUCAUUUGUUAAACUUCCGUCUUAGCUUGGGACUCCAUCAAAAGACGAAAUCUUGCAAAGUCGUCAUAACUCAUUGUGGCCAUAGAAAAUAUAUGACUUACUUGAUCAAAGUCUUGAUAUAAAUGAGUUUGAAUUCUAUCUUCUUGAUGCAUCUUCGAAUGAAAUAGGACCUUGGCUCGAUUUGGUUACUUCAUUCAUGGAAUAAUAGCUUUCCUCCCGAAGAAAUAACAUAGUUCUCAUUUCUCGUGUCUAAGGAUGUUCAUGGUUCGGUCUGAUUCAGUUUCCAUAAAUAUGAACUCAAAUCAACCAUGUUAGUUUUUUAUUUGGUUUGGUUUUCACAUCUUUUUCGGUUUUGUCGUUUGUUUUUCACAUGCAUUUCUUAGUGAUUCCUUUGUCCAGAUAGAUCUAAUUGACUAAUCAAAAUUUGGGGACUUGGUUUUGAUUGAACAAAUAUAGCAUUAAGAACUUUAACUUUCAUUUUUGUCUUGGUGGAUUUAGAUUGUUUGUUUUGGUAAUUGAAGUCUGCUUUGGCUGUUUAAUGGAUGGUGUUAACAGUUGAUAGUGGUAAAUGGAGAAGGGGAACUAAGAACCCGAAAAAAUAUAUGAACCAACUAAAUCUUGCCCUCAUACUUUAAUGCCUUAGUAAAUAUGUCAGUGAAGUGAAGUGAUCAUAGUCUUGAUACAAGUGAAUUCUACUUCUUUCUUCUUGAUGCUUCCAGAUUACGUAGAAUAUUGUAUCGAUGCCAUACUCUUGUUGUGUCUUCCAUGAAAUAGUAGCCAGUGGUACUCUUGCGAUCAUAUACUGUGGCUUGACUUGCUAUUCUGCUUUAAAGUUUUCUUGUAUGUAACUUGUAUAAACUUCUUGAGAUGAAUGCCAUCAACAUAUUGCUUCGCUCCAAUGCUAAGAUAUUAGAAGAUAUGUGAUAACUGUUAUUUUCAUGCCAUCACUUUCUUGAAUUCACUAAAUGUUUUUUAAUAACGGUGAUGUCAGGGCCAGGUAGUUUGCGCACACCUCGUUCAUUUCAUCGGAUACCUGAUACCUCUACAACAUAUGUACCAGCCCAUCGGGUAACUUUGUCCGCCAAGGCUUAACAAAUGAGAACAAAACACCUUGCCUCCUCUGAGGUAUGAACUUGAGAUCUCGUAGUUCUCCUCUCACUUUAUUGACCACUAUUAAUAGGCACAUCCUUGGGUGAAAUUCAUUUGAACAUAUAUAUUUAAACUUUGAUAGUUGUGGUUGUCGUCUACAUGGUAUGUGACACCACACAAUGUUGACUAAUGUUGAGCCAGGAGAUAUAUAUUCCCUUGGAUCAUUAUAGCACUCGUUGAACAAUUGAGUAGAAAUGGAUAGGUUAUAAGAAGUAGAAAACCCAUAUCAAUCUAUCUCUAUAGGAGACAACAUGAGCAAAGGAUGGGAACGGUUAAAUCCUUUGGAAAAGAAUUCACCCCCUCAUCAAUUAUAUAUUAUGAAAUGAAGGAAAUACCUCCAUUUCCAUCUUCCUUAUCAAAAAGUGUUCUUAUGUGUAUAAAUGGUAAAAGUUGAAAUCCAUGGUCUUGAAGAUGCUUUAAUUCCUAUAAGGCUUCUUUCAGUUUUAAAACUUAUUCUUUAUGCUCUUUGGUUAUGUAGCACACAUGUUGUUGAGUAUAAACAUCGGCUUCGUCAAGUUAACAAAAGCCAUAUUACUAGAUAUUGUGUGUUUCUUUAAAGGGAAGAAGAAAGAAUCAGUGAUAAGAAUAUAAGAGAGUUUUAAUUUUAGUCCUGUUAUUGGCAUAAAGGUUCUCAUGGAGAAAUCUCUGAUUAUGGUUACACAAGGUCGGAUUUUAAUGCAUCAAUCGAUACAAGAAAUCGGUUGGUAUAUUAUUCGACAAGAUGCUUCGGAUGAUUCAAGAAGAUAUAGUAGGUUGUGGAUGCCUGGGAAUAUUUCUCAUGUACUUGGAGGAGAUUUGAUAAGUGUUUGCACAAACUAUGUUGCUCGGACUCUUUAAAAAUGGCGGUGGGUGCAUGUUGGAUCCUCCAAAAGUAGUGCAUUUUCGUAGGAUCCAAUACGUGUGCGGCAUCAACUUUGGAGAGUCCGAGCAACAUAGUGCACAAAUGAUGAUUUCUAAUUAGUUAUUAGUUCAAGCAGCAGCUGAUGUAUGAUGUAACUUUAUAACUUCUUUCUCCAAUUUUCCUUUUUGCCUGAUUGUUCUUUCUUAAUAAUCAGGGCACUGAAAAGAUCGAAGGCAUGUGACUGAACUUGGAUUCUGCACAAGAAGUGAAUGUCAGCAGUGCAGUUUCUCAGUAUCCAAAAUACAAAUGUUCGUCAGGGUCCUGAUUUUCUUCAUGGUGAGUUGAGUUGGAUGUCCAUCAAGAAGUCUGUCUGUUAGUUUUCGGGGGAGAAAAGCUUGUUGGUUUGAAGUUGAAAGAUAGCCGAAUUACACAACUUUGGCAAGGCUCCAACGUUUAUAUAUAGUCGGAGUACUAAUUAUCUGGCUGUUUUGCUUUCUUGCUGUUUGAUUUGUUUCAGUAUGACAGGUUCUAGUAAGGUUGAUUUGUUUCAUCAACCUAGCCAAUCACAGAAGCUAGUAAGGACCCCGGAUUUUUCAGGUACCAGUAAUCUUGAAAGUGUUAAGGUUUUGAUUCUAUCAGCCUGCUUAAAACUCGAAAAGUUCCUGAAAAAAUAGAAGAAGAAAUGAAUCGCUUUUCAAAAGUGUACUUGGAUGGAGCUUCUUUGGGAGAGGUACGCGCAUCACUUGAGAACCUUCCAGGGGUUAGCUUGAAUAUUUGAUAAAUCUUAGUUACUGCAAGCAUCUUGAGAAUCUCCCAAGCAGUAUUUUUAGAUUGAAGUGUCUUAAGAACACUUGCUCUAUUCGGGUGCUCAAGACUCGAAAAAAUAUCAGAUGAUGUGGGACUUUUAACGGGCUUAGAGGAGCUCCGCUGUGAUGGCACAGCCAUCCGAACACUUGUCUUUUCGUGGAUGUAAUGCUUUGGGUUUACAAGUAAACAGCUCAUUCUUCUCCUUUUGGCUUCCAGGAAAAGGUCAAAACUCCACGGGUCUAAUUUAUCGAGUCUUUGUUCAUUGACAAUGCUUGAUACUAGUCACUGCAAUAUCUCAGACAGAGGCUGGAGGCACCCUAUGUAAUCUUGUGUACUUAUCAUCUUUGUGGUAACAGCUUUACCAAUAUUCCAGCUGCAAGCAUCAGUGAUCUAACUGAGCUACUUGCGCCGAGUUCACCUUGGACGUGGUUGAUACAAUUAUGGAAUAACAUGCUCAAGGUAACUGCAGAAUGACAGGCAAAUUACAUUCCUUUAAUGGAGAUAUAUCUGUGGAUUCAGACUAACUGAGCUGUGUUUUAAAGUCAGCAGCAGAUCCACAAAGCAGGAAUUUGAGUUAGACGAUAGGAUUCAGUCUGGUUCUCUUGCCAGGAUAGGCCUUGGGACGGAGCUAGCAUGGAAAGUACGGGCCAGAAUUCAGUUACUUCGGAGCAAAUCCUGUAUAUAUUUGUUCAUUGAAUAUCUAUAUCUUUAAAUUUUGGAUUCACCUCUAAUCGUAAGUGAAUGUAUGAUCCAGAAGAAAACAUGUCAAGUUCUUCAAUGUGCAGAGAGAUUGUUGUUUGUCAAAUUACACCUCUUAUUCAACUGGUUUAUCUUGUUCAAGAGUUCUUGGUAAGUAACUUUCUAUAAUCUAUUGUUGUUGUAUUCAAAUGUACCUUGUCAUAUAAAUUCAUCCUCAAGUUUUAUUUUUUUGCUUGUUUCCUAUUUUCUUUUCAUUGAAUGGACUAUUUUUAUUAG